CACGCAUACUUAUACAAUAACAUACAACAUAGCAAAAUUAGGUACUUAAACAUUCCUAACAUGUCAUGAUUAUGGCAAUUUCACAUGCAAUAGAUAUCAUAGAUUUUACUCACAUCUUUACCACAUUCAUACUAUAAUCAUUAUAAACUCAUCACAUAAUACCAUAGCACAUGCAUGCAUAAUUAAAUUAGAUUUACAAUCCCAUAAUCAAAAUAGGCCAACACAUAUGGUUAAAGCCAUAUCACAUACUCUAAUAUUUAAACUCUUAUACAUGCCAUAGGCUCAAAGUACUUGAAAUCACUACACCAAUAGCGUUAGCUUGACAGUGUGAUAAUAUC
rnacentral:lncRNA from 1 species